rnacentral:lncRNA from 1 species
UUUUAAACCCUAAACUGAAUUUUUCCUUUUAGUCAGCAUUAGGGUUUUAAACCCUAAACUGAAUUUUCCUUUUAGUCAGCAUUAGGAUUUUAAACCUUAAACUGAACUUUUUCCUUUCAGCCAGCAUUAGGGUUUUAAACCCUAAACUGAGCUUUUCCAUGUAUUCAGCAUUAGGGUUUUAAACCCUAAACGGAAUUUUUCCUUUUAGUCAGCAUUAGGGUUCUAAACCCUAAACUGAACUUUUUCCAUUCAGCCAGCAUUAGGGUUUUAAACCCUAAACUGAGCUUUUUCAUGUAGUCAGCAUUAGUGUUUCAAACCCUAAACUGAAUUUUUCCUUUUAGUCAGCAUUAGGGUUUUAAACCCUAAACUGAACUUUUUCCAUUCAGCAGCAUUAGGGUUUUAAACCCUAAACUGAGCUUUUCCAUGUAUUCAGCAUUAGGGUUUUAAACCCUAAACUGAAUUUUUCCUUUUAGUCAGCAUUAGGGUUUUAAACCCUAAACUGAACUUUUUCCAUUUAGCCAGCAUUAGGGUUUUAAACCCUAAACUGAGCUUUUCC